AUACGUAGGGGGCGAGCGUUGUCCGGAAUGAUUGGGCGUAAAGGGCGCGUAGGCGGCGCGGUAAGUCUGGAGUGAAAGUCCUGCUUUCAAGGUGGGAAUUGCUUUGGAUACUGCCGCGCUUGAGUGCAGGAGAGGUUAUCGGAAUUCCCGGUGUAGCGGUGACAUGCGUAGAGAUCGGGAGGAACACCAGUGGCGAAGGCGGGUAACUGGACUGCAACUGACGCUGAGGCGCGAAAGUGUGGGGAGCAAACAGGAUUAGAUACCCUGGUAGUCCACACUGUAAACGAUGAAUGCUAGGUGUAAGAGGUAUCGACCCCUUUUGUGCCGGAGUCAACACAAUAAGCAUUCCGCCUGGGGAGUACGGCCGCAAGGUUGAAACUCAAAUGAAUUGACGGGG
rnacentral:rRNA from 1 species